GGGUCAAGAGGGGAAGGAGCCUGGGGGAGGGCUGGUGUAUGGUGCAUGGUGAGGGUACAGAUGCUUGUCUUUGCUUUGUACUGCUUGGGUGCACUUGUGGAUGUGGUAUAUUCAGACUUGUUCCAGGGCUUCAGACAGAGCCCAGGCUGUGUACUCCUCCUGGAACUGGAAUGACGCACAAACAGGCUGUUGGCCCAUAGGCGGCCCCUCAGCGUGGACUUUCACAAGAGGAAGACGACGAAGCAGAUGUCUUCAUUUAGUAAGCACUGGAAUAAGAUGCACACUUUGUGCCGUCGUUAUGGCUCUAAGGCAUACCAUCUUCAGAAGUCAACAUGUGGCAGGCAAAUGAAUGGAUUCCGUGAAGGAAGAACACCUAAACCCCAGAGAGCAGCUGUUGCAGCAUCUAGUUCAUCUUGAGGAUUCAACUGUUUGUUAAAAUAAAUGUCCUGAAUGAAAAAAGUAAGACA
rnacentral:lncRNA from 1 species